AACGAACGCUGGCGGCGUGCUUAACACAUGCAAGUCGAACGCGAAAGGGGCUUCGGUCCUGAGUAGAGUGGCGCACGGGUGAGUAACGCGUAGAUAACCUGUCCUGGUGUCUGGAAUAAUAUCUCGAAAGGGGUGCUAAUACCGGAUAUUCUUGCUUUCUAUAAGGUAUGCAAGGAAAGGUGGCCUCUGGAACAAGCUACUGCACGAGGAGGGGUCUGCGUACCAUUAGCUAGUAGGUGGGGUAAUGGCCUACCUAGGCGACGAUGGUUAGCGGGUCUGAGAGGAUGAGCCGCCACACUGGUACUGAGACACGGACCAGACUCCUACGGGAGGCAGCAGUGAGGAAUAUUGCGCAAUGGGGGCAACCCUGACGCAGCGACGCCGCGUGAGUGAGGAAGGCCUUCGGGUCGUAAAGCUCUGUCAAAGGGGAAGAAGUGCAUGGUGGUUAAUAUCUGUCAUGUUUGACGGUACCCUUAAAGGAAGCACCGGCUAACUCCGUGCCAGCCGCCGCAGUAAUAC
rnacentral:rRNA from 1 species